GUAGGUGGCGAGCGUUGUCCGGAAUUAUUGGGCGUAAAGAGCAUGUAGGCGGUUUUUUAAGUCUGGAGUGAAAAUGCGGGGCUCAACCCCGUAUGGCUCUGGAUACUGGAAGACUUGAGUGCAGGAGAGGAAAGGGGAAUUCCCAGUGUAGCGGUGAAAUGCGUAGAUAUUGGGAGGAACACCAGUGGCGAAGGCGGAUUGCUGGACGACAACUGACGGUGAGGCGCGAAAGCGUGGGGAGCAAACAGGAUUAGAUACCCUGGUAGUCCACACUGUAAACGAUGAAUACUAGGUGUGCGGGGACUGACCCCCUGCGUGCCGCAGUUAACACAAUAAGUAUUCCACCUGGGAAGU
rnacentral:rRNA from 1 species